rnacentral:rRNA from 1 species
UACGUAGGGGGCAAGCGUGGUCCGGAAUCAUUGGGCGUAAAGAGCGUGUAGGCGGCCAGAAAAGUCCGCUGUGAAAACUCGAGGCUCAACUUCGAGCUGUCGGUGGAAACUUUCUGGCUAGAGUCCGGAAGAGGAGAAUGGAAUUCCCGGUGUAGCGGUGAAAUGCGCAGAUAUCGGGAAGAACACCCGUGGCGAAGGCGGCUCUCUGGGACGGUACUGACGCUGAGACGCGAAAGCGUGGGGAGCGAACAGG